GCUGAGCUGACCUCGGGGAGGCCCAGGACCGGUUCAGAUAAUUGUCACUUAUGUUGGUGAUAGCCGUGAUCGGGAAUCAAACUCGGGUAGCUGGGUUCGUAGAGUAAACCGCUUCCUAUACUACGGCUCACACCGACGCAUGAAUCACACAGUUCCCCCUACAGUCAACACAACCUUGAAGGAGCUGCCCCACAUUAUUUAAGAACGCGAUUCAAGGCUUUCAUCAACAAAAUUCUAGCCUCGAACAGCCAGCCCCUCAUCGGAGGUUACUAUUUCAAAACCCUCUUUGUUGAGUUGACUCAGCGCAUUAUCCCCGUGGGGGAAUAAUUUAUAAGUAGGGUACUGCACUACUUUGUAUGGAAGUCAACAGUGGUUGUCCAAUUUAUACCCUCACCUUACCGUAGGAUUGAAGAAUGUUCAGGACUGUAAACAGGACAUAAGCACAACGCCUCAAUGCUCAUUUUGAGUACGAAAUCACUUUUGAUGUUGACUCUCAUUCUCGCCCGAGCUACUCCUGCCACAAUUUCAGGGUACCACUUGCAAGUAAUGUUUCAGAAUUCAGAUAUUUGCCAAGACGAGUCACGUGUAUUGUUAUUUUAUCUGUGGGAGAAAAAUCCGUGAACCCAACGGAAACCCCUGCAGAAUGGUGCCCGGAGUCAGGAAUCAAAACCCAGAACUCUUAUUUUUUCACAAAGCACAACAAGCGUUACCACUGUGCCACCACCAGGGCCUUCCAUGAGGGGGGAGGUGCGGAGCCGGGGAAAACCCCCACUGGGGGCCCCCCGACGCCUUAAAACUAAACCAGAAGUAUUAUUUAUUAUUUUCCCUAUGUGACUUUACCGAAAGAACCAUAAAAUAUGAAUUCCUGCAGUCACGAAAGUUUUAAGUCAAAAUUUUACCGCCUUCUAUGGGGAGGGUUUCCACAUAACCAUAAGAUAUUUUAACGAACUCCAAGACAAGAAAGCUCAUCUGAUCGAGUCACUCACAUUUUUGAAGAGAUGCCGCGACUCUAAGCUGCAGGAAACAGAGGGAGCAGCACAGCGAGCAGCACGAGCCUCAACAGCAGCAGCAGCGGGAGCGUCUCCAUUGCCCGUAUGUGCCGUGUGUGCCUCCGAUCAUCCAUCCUGGGUUUAACCACAAGGCUAGAUAGAUCACAGUGCGACGGGCUGGAAAAGAGAUGGGCUGAUGUAUAAAUAACCUCCUGCCUGCGAGGCUUCGACACUUCACGUUGCCUCAGAGUUCACCUAGCCUGGCACCAGCGCGUUGUGAUGUCACCGCCACUUCGUGGGGAAUAGCGGCUGUUGUCAUUCAAAUUUGUAUUUGUCUAUUAUUUGGGUCUUUCGUUGUCUAGGGUAUAUUUUAAUAAUGAAAGUAACCCAUUGAAAUCUGAUUCGUUUGAUAUCCUCACAUGCAACGGAAUGGUUGAACCCACUGGUAAACCACACACGUGGUAAACAUUACCUUAAUGCAAGAAAGUCUUUACUAAGAGACAUUAAUAUGCAACCAGUGUUCGGUACAACUUAUAAUUAUAUUGUUACGAAUGUUAUUGG